rnacentral:rRNA from 1 species
UACGUAGGGUGCAAGCGUUGUCCGGAAUUAUUGGGCGUAAAGAGCUCGUAGGCGGUUUGUUGCGUCGGCUGUGAAAUCCCGAGGCUCAACCUCGGGUCUGCAGUCGAUACGAGCAAACUAGAGUGUUGCAGGGGAGACUGGAAUUCCUGGUGUAGCGGUGAAAUGCGCAGAUAUCAGGAGGAACACCGGUGGCGAAGGCGGCAUUCUGGACCGACAUUGACGCUGAGGAGCGAAAGCCAGGGGAGCAAACGGG